CUUAAGCAUAUCAAUAAGCGGAGGAAAAGAAACCAACAGGGAUUGCCUUAGUAACGGCGAGUGAAGCGGCAACAGCUCAAAUUUGAAAUCUGGCCCUCGGGUCCGAAUUGUAAUUUGUAGAGGAUGAUUUUGGUGCGGUAUCUUCCGAGUUCCUUGGAACAGGACGCCUUAGAGGGUGAGAGCCCCGUACGGUUGAAUGCCUAGCCUCUGUAAAUCUCCUUCGACGAGUCGAGUAGUUUGGGAAUGCUGCUCUAAAUGGGAGGUAAAUUUCUUCUAAAGCUAAAUAUUGGCCAGAGACCGAUAGCGCACAAGUAGAGUGAUCGAAAGAUGAAAAGCACUUUGAAAAGAGGGUUAAAUAGCACGUGAAAUUGUUGAAAGGGAAGGAUUUGUGACCAGACUUUUUCUGGGCGGAUCAUCCGGGGUUCUCUCCGGUGCACUUUGCCCAGUAAAGGCCAGCAUCGAUUUUCGGCGGCGGAUAAAAGCAGUGGGAAUGUGGCUCCCUACGGGGAGUGUUAUAGCCCAUUGUAUAAUACGCUGCUGGGGAUCGAGGUACGCGCUUCUGCAAGGAUGCUGGCGUAAUGGUUAUCAAUCACCCGUCUUGAAACACGGACCAAGGAGUCGAACAUUUAUGCGAGUGUUUGGGUGUUAAACCCUCACGCGUAAUGAAAGUGAACGGAGGUGAGAGCCCGUACGGGUGCAUCAUCGACCGAUCCUGAAGUUUUCGGAUGGAUUUGAGUAAGAGCAUAACUGUUCGGACCCGAAAGAUGGUGAACUAUGCGUGGAUAGGGUGAAGCCAGAGGAAACUCUGGUGGAGGCUCGCAGCGGUUCUGACGUGCAAAUCGAUCGUCAAAUCUGCGCAUGGGGGCGAAAGACUAAUCGAACCAUCUAGUAGCUGGUUACCGCCG
rnacentral:rRNA from 1 species